rnacentral:lncRNA from 1 species
UUACAGUAUGAGUUAUAAAUAUCUUACUUAAAAACUUAAAAGUGCUUAAAUAAUUCCAUAUUUGUCAUUCGAUUAUUGUAUGUUAUUUAUUUGCUAUUAGCAAAGCCUUAUUGUGAUGUUAUUGAGGUACGAGGAGAUUUAAAACCAGAUCAAGGUGCUCGACCUGAAGUCUCAAGAGUUCAAACAAGAAUCAGAGAUGAUGGAGCAAACCAUCACCACUAUGCCAGAUGUUAUAGCGGAGCUACAGUAAGAAAUACUGUAAACAAUAUAUGUUUGACCAUAUAAAUAUUAGACUUCCAUGCUUGUUUUUAUUUGUUGUCUAUUUCAGGGGUUUGUCAAACACUAUGGCGUUCAAACAUGGGACAGUCACAGUAGUGAUGGGUAAUGUGCACAGGGAUAUAGCUUCCUGUCAACAGAGGAAGUCUCAUCACGCACAGAUUCACUCAACGCCGGGCUGUCAUGAAGGACACAGAGGGUAAUCUACAUGAAGCAACUAAAAGCCAAUCUGAAGUUGGCUCAAGAGUACCGAGAGCUGCAGAAAGUUCUGAUGAUUGCCAGACAAGAAGCCGUUUGUGUUUUUGACAUAAGAAACAGAGCAGAGGCCUACAUCCAAGAUCACAAGCAGCUUUCUUUGUUGCAGAAGAGGAUGCACAAAGCCAUGCUAAAAUACUUCAAACGCCGCAGCGUCUACAGCCAGGCAGAGCUGGCCCGCUUCCAGACCCUCUCCAACCAGAACAACCAGAAAAUGAAAGCCCUCCAGAGAAUACAGACAAAGAACUUAAUGGAUGACUGAGAGACAUACUAUUUCUCUUGAAACUCAG